UGGGGAAUAUUGCACAAUGGGCGGAAGCCUGAUGCAGCGACGCCGCGUGGGGGAUGAAGGCCUUCGGGUUGUAAACUCCUUUCGACAGGGACGAAGCUUUUGUGACGGUAGCUGUAUAAGAAGCACCGGCUAACUACGUGCCAGCAGCCGCGGUAAUACGUAGGGUGCGAGCGUUGUCCGGAAUUACUGGGCGUAAAGAGCUCGUAGGUGGUUUGUCGCGUCGUCUGUGAAAUUCCGGGGCUUAACUCCGGGCGUGCAGGCGAUACGGGCUGACUUGAGUGCUGUAGGGGAGACUGGAAUUCCUGGUGUAGCGGUGAAAUGCGCAGAUAUCAGGAGGAACACCGAUGGCGAAGGCAGGUCUCUGGGCAGUAACUGACGCUGAGGAGCGAAAGCAUGGGUAGCGAACAGG
rnacentral:rRNA from 1 species